rnacentral:rRNA from 1 species
AUGGGUGCCCAGGAGAUCAAGUACUUCUCGCAGGCGAAGCUUGGCCGGCGGUGGCGGCGGCCGGCGAGGGGGUUCCGGCUCAGCCCGACCCGCCUCUCCGUCCGCCGGCUACGCGCCAGGCUGUGGACCAUGCUCGGCCUGCUGGGCCGCUACUUUCGCGGCGUACGCCUGCCGCAGCUUACCAGGGGGCUCGUCGCCAGCAGCAGCUCUCCCGCGUCAACGAGCGGCGGCGGCGGCAACAAGAAAGGGCAGCCGCCAGCAGCGUCACCGGCGGCCGGUGGCAACGUUGCCAAGCCGCGGAGGCCGCCGUGCAUGCGGUCGAAUUCCUUCUACGCGCGCGCCGUUGCGGACUGCCUCGACUUUAUCAAGGGCAGCAACGCCGCCCCGGUCGAGGACAACCGCGGCGCCGCUGCCGGUGCCGUCCGGCACGGCCAUGGCCAGCAGCAUCACGUGCUGAAGGCCACGUGA